rnacentral:lncRNA from 1 species
UAACACGUGGCUUACGCUCUCACACGAGGCAGACACGAUAGAAUACAGAAGGAGGCGACGGGCACUCGAGGAGAAGAAGACUAGGAUUGAGGGUGAGAGUAGGUGGUGAGGAGGCGGUGGGGAAAGGAGUCUUGGUCGGGACUUAACUUGAUACCCCUGGCAGGGAGAACCUGUGAGCGGGUAAGGGAAACGGAUCUACACGCAAGCAGAACGCUCGCUGACUUGUUGCCAGUAGCUGCCGUAGCUGACUGUUUUAAUAGCUAAGGCUGACUUGCUGUCUGAGACGCCGAGUGGGAAUCAGAGGGAAAGGGACAGGCUAAGACCGUGUACCGGUAGUAUUACUUGACGCUUACAAAGAAGGCACUGGGGUUGGGUCCCGCAGAGCAAUCCAACACAGAAACCUAAAGGGCGCGACCGUGCGCCGUGCCUGGCCUACGGCCGGCACAACCUAUUCAAGGAUUGGAACACAGACAGAUGGCUCACUUUGAGCGCGUGUGACUUGGCAGUCGGUUGGGGGCUUACUCUUGUACUUGGCUAGGCUCUUGUGGCAAUAGCUUAUUACAGCUCGGCGCGGUCAGCCCUUAAGUACUUUUGGGCAACUGCCAACCACCUUCUUCGAUGGUGGGUCCAACCCUCAAUAUGGGGACCACCGGGGCCCAACUGCCGUACUUCACACCUGCGCGCAGUGCACAUUCGUAAACAGACCUUCUUCAACGUGAAGUCCACCUCCAACGCCGCGCAGGCGUGGGUCUGUUUGCUUACCUAACAAACACGCUUAAAGAAUAACACCCGCACGGACUAGGCUACUAGAAACGCCGGCUUGCGUGCGCAUCGGGAACACUGAGAAGUGCCGAUCGCUGCACAAGCACUCACCCUACACACGCACAAGCACGCGCUUGUCCAGCAAAUCUUGAUCAGUAGUCGCUGCUUGGGGAAUAACCUUGAAAGCUCCAAACACGAACCUCAUGCGAUUUAUGAGCAUAGCUAGGGAACACGGCAGACACGUUUACACGAAGUCCGCGCUUACCUGCUACAGCUGUAGCAUUACCGGGCCUACAGUUGGGCGUCCCCGUCCAACCCUGCACGUGGAUGCCACGGCCUGCUCCUAACACUAUACUCCGUUUGUUUGUGAUUUUUUAGGUUUUAUUUUGAGUGGUAAUACGUGCGUGCAUACGCUUCAUCUUAGGGGAACCCCUACGGCUCCAAUAUGCACCAUUGUCAGGGCCUGUACCGGGCCUACGUCAAUGUCACGGGGGGACUGGCAGUCCAUACCGGGCCCUUGUCUGGGCCACACCAUCCCUUUGGAGAGGGAUGCUGAGGGCAUAACCAUGUCACCUGACGGCUGCGUUGCCGGUGCGGUAAAUAUGGGUAACUUCCAUUACCUGUUGAGUUCUCUAUUUUGCUAUGAAAACAGGGCCCACACGGAGCCAGGGAAACAAUGGGUUUGGCACAACGGAAAACCUGCCGCAUGCGCAUAUGAUCUGCUGGGACAGUCCGUUUUCUAGCCCUGAAGGAAAUAAUGCGAGAAUGCCUGCGUGCAGGACUGAUUACACCAGCGGUUUCAUCAGGCGCCACGAGUGCCUUGGUUGCAGGGGAAUCACCAUCCAGCAUGUAGAUCUCGGGCACUCCAUCAGGGCAUUCCUCCCUAAGGGAAGUGGUGCGUGGCGCCGCGGCUUCCUCCACAACACAUGUAAUAGGUAUGGUGCUGCGCUGGUUUGAGUCAUUAGUGAAUUCCAGUACUUGCCCCUCAAAAUCAAUGGAGGCCUUGAGAGGGUAUAAGAAAUCCAUUCCCAAAAGCAAUUCGUAGUUUUGAGCUUGGGACACAUACAUGUCCAUGGUGUACGUCAAAUCACCCCCUAGACUAACUUGCAUGCCUCGUACCUGCCCUGUGGCUUUCUUCUUAAGUCCAUCCGCAUUCAGGAACAUUGCCCGUGACUCAGCUAGAUACGGCAUGAGGUCCAGUCGCCGCAAAAUGUACACAGGUACAACACUGUACGAGGCGCCCGUGUCAAUGACCGCACGGAUUACUUCCUUCUCUCCCCUGGCGUUGGUCAGGCGGACAUAGCCCCUGCAAACCGAAAACUUCUGGGGACGAGUAUCCAGAUUGUAGCAGGGCAAUGUGUUUGUUUGUUGAUAGGUGGGGGCGGACGGUGGCGAAUAGCCAGACGUCACGCGGGCAAGCCCAGGGACACGGGCCCCUCUGGUUGUGUGUGUUGGUGCCUUGGAGGCGGGCUCCGCGUCGUGGAAAGUCGGCACACUAACAGGCAGAGGCCACCCUACAUCGAAAUCAGAAAGGGGGCGAAGCACGUCAUCCUUACAUCGGUGGCUUUCAUAUAGAUUAGCAUCCCUGCUGGCGGGUUCGUCCCUUGGGCGUGUGCCCACCAUACGUGCGACACCCAUCAAUUUCCCCCCAACCUUGCUAUAAAUUUGCACCGGAUUUACCCGGACUGCGGCUCCCAAAGGGAUUGAGUACUUGUUUAUUUUAGAUACCACGUCAGCCACAAUGCGCUGAGUGGUCUCAUCUUCGGACGCAUCGAAUGGAAUGGGGUCCACGCGUGUAGCAGCACCCCCCGGCCCUCUGGGUGCACGACCAAUAUCACGGUACCCUGUGGUUGCCCUUCCUCCGCCCGCUCCUAAACCCUUGUCAGUCCGUUCCCGUCGCGCAGGUGUUGCCGUGUUGGUCACACGAAAGGCCGUAGCUGUAUCAGGCUGGGGAGAAUCUGUGGCCCGUGUGUCAGGCGGGGGAGUCUCUUUCAGGGGUGUGGGCGAGCCAAAAGCACCUCCAGCGGUACGGGCAGCACUGAACCGACGGGUUGCAGGCCGGUCAUUGAUCUCCAUGGGCAGGGUCUGUGUAGGUUCAACAGGCACACGUUUGUUGGGCAGCCUGAUGGGCUCAAAAUCACUCACUCGUUUAGAUAGUAGAAUACAAAGCACGCUCACGUGCAUAUAACUCAGGAUCACCGUCAUCGCAGUCAUCCCAAUCAUCACUGUCAUAGCCACACCCAUGAGAGUAAUAACAUUCCGCAUCCUCCCAACCAUCAUCCCCUUCGGAUUCACACCUAUCAUGCAUGUAUGUGGCCACCUCCCCCUGCUGUCUCAACGCUAGGGUCAGGUUUGCCAGCUUAUUUUGUAUGCUUUCAAUGUCUUUCUCCAGAUCCUGUGAAACCCUGCUAGCAGAUGGCGGCGGCAGGGGCCUAGUUGACCGGUUAUUAAACCGUUCCUCUUGUGAACGGAACUUUUCAUCCCUGCGGCUUAGGUUGAAGUUUGAUGGGCGAGGCCGCUGGUCUGCUGGACGGUAGUCCGUGCGGGAUAUGGGUAAUGGAAUCUGUUGUGAGAAAUUGUUUGGGUUUCGUGCGGACUCUUCUACCUCGCUAGCGUAAAUAGCAUCCUCAAUGGCCGUUUCGAGACUGGAAGGGCGCAUGAGAUACACCUGGCUGUAUAUGCUGGAAUGUAAACCCCUCAGGUAGUUAUACAUUUGUAUUGUGUCGGGCUUAAUGCGCAACCGGGCAAGUAGGUGACGGAACCUAUCCGAGUACUCACGAACAGACUCAUUUGCUUUCUGGCGGCAUGCCGCCAGUUGGGCGUAAAGAGUUGUCUCUUUUACUGCAAAACGGGCAAGAAACGCCCGACAGAACGCAUCCCACGUGUUUGUUUCCAUGUUUGUUUCCAUGCCUGAGUCCCUGAGUUUCCAUGCCUGAGUCCCAGAUGCGGGCAUCAUGACUAAGACGGCACUUCGCUAUAAAUAGCUUUAACGUAUCAUCCCAUCCAAACACACGCCCCAUACGUUCGAUGGUGUCUAUCCAGUUGCUCGGGUCCUCAGAGGAGGGGGUGAAGAGCGGAAUUGCGAAGAGAGAGGACGGUGAAAUGGUGGUGGCACGGGUAGAGCCUACAGAACCGGACGAUUCACUGUCCGAGUCUACUUGAUUCGCCAUUUUUUUUUGUUCAGAUAGUGAAGAAAAUGGGUAGGGGACAAUAGAGUUUCUCAGGACUAUUCCCGCAACUCCCCCCACAAAAGACGCGCGAGCCCUAUAUACAGGAACCCAGAUUUUUUCGCGUACUGGCGCAGGCGUCACUGAGUCUCUAGAGCCACGCAGCAGCUGUAUGACGACAGACCCACUACGAUUUGACCUUCCCUUGAUUGAGUAUACACCAGCCUUCGCAGGUAUGGGAACGACCUGACUGGCACGCAACACACCUAACACGUGGCUUACGCUCUCACACGAGGCAGACACGAUAGAAUACAGAAGGAGGCGACGGGCACUCGAGGAGAAGAAGACUAGGAGAGGGAUUGAGGGUGAGAGUAGGUGGUGAGGAGGCGGUGGGGAAAGGAGUCUUGGUCGGGACUUAACUUGAUACCCCUGGCAGGGAGAACCUGUGAGCGGGUAAGGGAAACGGAUCUACACGCAAGCAGAACGCUCGCUGACUUGUUGCCAGUAGCUGCCGUAGCUGACUGUUUUAAUAGCUAAGGCUGACUUGCUGUCUGAGACGCCGAGUGGGAAUCAGAGGGAAAGGGACAGGCUAAGACCGUGUACCGGUAGUAUUACUUGACGCUUACAAAGAAGGCACUGGGGUUGGGUCCCGCAGAGCAAUCCAACACAGAAACCUAAAGGGCGCGACCGUGCGCCGUGCCUGGCCUACGGCCGGCACAACCUAUUCAAGGAUUGGAACACAGACAGAUGGCUCACUUUGAGCGCGUGUGACUUGGCAGUCGGUUGGGGGCUUACUCUUGUACUUGGCUAGGCUCUUGUGGCAAUAGCUUCUUGGCUAGGCUCUUGUGGCAAUAGCUUAUUACAGCUCGGCGCGGUCAGCCCUUAAGUACUUUUGGGCAACUGCCAACCACCUUCUUCGAUGGUGGGUCCAACCCUCAAUAUGGGGACCACCGGGGCCCAACUGCCGUACUUCACACCUGCGCGCAGUGCACAUUCGUAAACAGACCUUCUUCAACGUGAAGUCCACCUCCAACGCCGCGCAGGCGUGGGUCUGUUUGCUUACCUAACAAACACGCUUAAAGAAUAACACCCGCACGGACUAGGCUACUAGAAACGCCGGCUUGCGUGCGCAUCGGGAACACUGAGAAGUGCCGAUCGCUGCACAAGCACUCACCCUACACACGCACAAGCACGCGCUUGUCCAGCAAAUCUUGAUCAGUAGUCGCUGCUUGGGGAAUAACCUUGAAAGCUCCAAACACGAACCUCAUGCGAUUUAUGAGCAUAGCUAGGGAACACGGCAGACACGUUUACACGAAGUCCGCGCUUACCUGCUACAGAUGCGUUUGUUUGGGGGUAUUUCUCUGAGGCUAACUGCAAGUCUGCCACACUGCAAGUCUGCCACACUGCUUUAGUCUGCGCCUAGGAUCAGGCUGAGAGACAGUGGGUUCAAGCUGCUCUCGCCCCUUUAUCCGCAUGAUCGCCCGUACGACACGUGCCCUGUAGCAGGACGACUACCCAAUGCCCUGCGGUGUCAUACCUUGGUGCGCGGAAGCAGAGGAGAGGACGGAGCUGGGAGCGCCGACUCGGGAGUGGGCUUGCGGUAGAAGGCGCUAAACAUGAACUAGAGAGAGAUAGACCGGCGGCUCAGCCCCGUCUCGAACAGGGAUCAAUACUGAAGUAUCAAUAUUGACUGGCCAAAACACUGAGCGCAAAGGUUUUGUAGUUGAGAUGGCCUGUACGGCCUUGACACGGGGUUUUCCCCUCUUAGUCGGGGCGUCCCGCCCACAUGCCCCAAACACCGUGCACAGCGCGGUGCCUGACGGCCCCUCCCCAAUGCGUGCAUCGCGACGCCACACUGCGAGCAUCAAAUGGCUCACGAAACGAGAUGGGGUAUGCUGCAGUGGCCAUCAGGUGAUCAGGCACACGAAAGCGCAAGCUGCAAACGUUGGGCCUCGACAGCUUUUUCGCACUGCGCGAAGCGCGCGACUGCCUAGGAGCGCGCGGGUGCCUAGGAGCCGCCGUUGAGCACUUCCUGAGUGCGGCUGAACCUUGGGCCUUCGUGGCGACGCGUUGCACGGCGGCAGCCGCGCUGCUG